GCAGUCUAGGCCCAACGGCCUAGAAGAGUGUAAUCGUGGCUGCGCGGCAUGACUUCUCCAUAGACAGGUUCUACUGGACACUGUACUGUACAGCCCCGACAAGCAACUAAAAUUGUCAAAAAGGGAACUAGUAUUUGCCCCAUGGAGAUAAACAUCUUUACAGUUCUGAACGAAGAUAAUAUCAAUAACAAACGAUAUGAAAACCCCCCUGCGAUCCACCAAAAAGGGUCAAAAGGGAGCUGAAAGGCCAAUAAAGAAUAACCAGUUCCAUUGACAAAGAUAUACGUGGCGGAUGACAUUUUUAACUAUAGAAACAAGUGGCACCAGCCAACAGGUUUCUCCUACCCAACUAAAUGCUAAGGAAUCUUCGAAAAGAAACUGGGAAAACUCGAAACCUUUUUUUUUAGGAAAGUAAUCAGGGACCCCAAUAAGAGGUUACUUUAUGAAAAUAGCUACUGUAAAUGACCAAUCAUAAAAUCGACGAUCUUGCUUAAGUAAUCAGCUAGCUUUCUCGUUAAAUGAACGAGGUAUCAACUCAGCCUCUAUUUUGAUGUUACUUUCUUUGGCGGCCGGUGUGAAAUAUAUCACCCACGAGUUGCUGCGAACAGUGUUUCACACCACCAGAAUCAGCUUGGUUGUCAGUAAACCACUCAACAGAGCACCCUGAAAGAAGAGGUGCAAAACGAACACAGUGGAAUUCUCGCCACAUACGUGGAACUCGAUCUGGUUCGUCUACAUAGAAUCACAGUUUUUGUGCGAAACAGGCAUGUCAACAAUUAAUGGCAAUAAAAGCACCAAAUCCAACAGCGCUAACAUCCGAGUAUACAAUACGAGAUAGUCUGCGAGCAACAUCUGCAAAACGCUGGAAUUGAGAUAAGAGACAUUCUUCUUCCAGAACUCCAACUGUAUGGAAACUGACAACAGGUUAACAACAGCAGGACCACACGCGCACUCGACCACUGAACCUGAGGCCAGAAGAUCAGAAAUAGCCUGCCCGACAAAUCACUUCACUGGACUGGAUGGCUGAGCGAUUAUCAGAAAACUGAGCUGAGGGUGGAAUGUUAAUAAAGAGAAUCUAAUACCCAUCAAAAAUAGUAUCGCCAAUAAAGCAAGAAGCACCUAUAUG